UACGUAGGGAGCGAGCGUUAUCCGGAUUUAUUGGGCGUAAAGCGUGCGUAGGCUGUUUAUUAAGUUUAAGAUAAAAGCCCGGGGCUCAACUCCGGUUCGUCUUAAAAACUGGUAAGCUAGAGUAUGGUAGAGGUAAAUGGAAUUUCUAGUGUAGCGGUGUAAUGCGUAGAUAUUAGAAGGAACACCAGUGGCGAAAGCGAUUUACUAGGCCAAAACUGACGCUGAGGCACGAAAGCGUGGGGAACAAAUA
rnacentral:rRNA from 1 species